GAAUAUGAAUUACUGCAGUCACGAAAGCUUUAAAUCAAAAUAUAAUUUAUUAAGUUGCACCGCCGCACAUUGGGUAUGGGAGUUGUUGUAACCCUCUAGUGACGUCAUGUCACCUCCUGCUGCCGCGUGACGUCACGAGACACCAGGAAGCUGCCGAUCGGGUCUCCUGCGCUCACUGAGAUUUGAGGUGAGAAGUUCACAUCGUGGUGGUGGUGGUUGUUGUUGUGGUGGUUGUUGUUGUUUACCCAGGUAGAGCCUCGCUCCUCUCUCUCUCGUAGGGAUAUCAAUUGAGUAGCAGCGAGUAAUGGAAUCGACGUCCAGGUCGGAACAUUACAACGCGGGGCCUAGCCAUGCGGAGCCUUGCCUCCUGCCCCUCGCCUUGAUUGCGUUUGCUUUUAUUCUCUCGCUUUAAGUUUAAUUUGUCUUCACCUGGCUCGCUGCUUUGUCACUUUGUUUUUCUUUGAAAUAUUCCUACAGUUUUCUUUGUUUUGUUAUCUUUAGUUAUCUUUACCAAGGUCAAAGCCCGCUUCAGCUGCUGUAACGCUCUUGUUUUCAGAAGCGACCUGCACACAACAGAGUGGUUUAUCAACGUGUUGAAAUGCCCGUCGGUCAAAUACUCUAAAACGCGUGGUGAUGUUCACUCUGAAUGUGCAGGGAAAAAAACCCUGGAGGAUCCUGAGGGAAAAUCCACGCGACCACGAGGAGAGAGACACGCAAACUCCAAAUAUACAUCCUUAAUACAGCUGAAACAUUCUUCUGACGCUUCAUCGGCAGAAUUGGUCUGAUGGAGCAAAGGCACUCGGCGCAGCCCGGUUCAACAAGACAACAAUGGGACCAGGAUACAAACAGCAUGGAUUGUACUGGAAGUGUGACAUGGCACCAGAGAACUCAAAGAGGAGAUGAACCCUUCAAGUGCACUGUGUGUGAGAAGGCAUUUUCAGAUUCAUCUGUUUUUAAAAAACACCAGAGAACGCACACGGGAGUGAAACCUUUCAAGUGCACUGUCUGUGAGAAGGCAUUUGCAGAGUUAUCAAGUCUUAAAACACACCAUAGAACACACACAGGAGAGAAAUAUUUCAAGUGCACUGUGUGCGAGAAGGCAUUUGCACAAUUAUCAAAUCUUCAGAGGCACCACAGAACGCACACAGGAGAGAAACCCUUCAAGUGCAGUGUGUGUGGGAAGGCAUUUUCAAAUUCAUCUGGUCUUAAGAACCACCAGAGAACACACACGGAAGGAAAACAUUACAAGUGCAGUUUGUGCGAGACGACAUUUUCAAGUUCAUUUUGUUUUAAAAUGCACCAGAGAACACACAAAGGAGAGAAACCCUUCAGGUGCACUCUGUGCGGGAAGCCCUUUGCAUAUUCA